UAGUUGAUGUUGCUCUCCGUUGCUUGAUUUGUUCACGAUUUACUUCAAAUGCCGCAAAUGAUUUGUUCUGCUUCAGUUGAUGUUUAUUGUCCAUGCUUUUUUAUCAUAUUGAGAAACAUGUUUGUUGCAGACAAGUUGUCUGAUGAAAUGCCUCAACUAUAUACACUUUGUUGUGCUUCAGGUAGGAAGCUGUGUUUGUUGUGUCCAUAGUGAGCUUACGUUUGGAACUCGAAAACCCAUUUUUAUCUUCUGAUAUAAUAUGAGUAGGGAGUGGUGCUUGUUGUAGCAAAAAGUUGAGUAGAUAAUGAACCAGUUAGACACAUGCCGGUCACUGGAUUUAUUUUGACAUUUUUCAAGAAAAUAUUGAAGGGAUCAUGUUCUGUUACUCAGAAAAUGGUUUUUCUCAUCUUGUUCAAUCUUUUCCCUAGUAAGUUUUGGGAUUUUGAGGAAACGACAGGUUCUUUGCAUUCUUAGUCUAAGAAUUGUGUUAACAUUGUCGAUGAUUACUGAUGAUGCACCAGCUUUUAUGAGGGUUAUGGGGCACUACAGAAUUUUAUUGUUGUUGGAGGCUGAUGAAUCAGAUUUAGCUUGUAAUUUCGACUGAGCUCAUUGGUUAGAUUGCAGUGUAGCAUGCCUGUCUGAGAUGCCUUAGAGGUGUGGUUGUUAAAGGUCUGGCUUCAAUGGUCUAUUGGCUAGCGGCAGUGGUAUUUAAAAUUUCUAUUGCUCAUUUGGGGCUCAAGUUAUUGCCUUACUGGUUCUGCUUGCUGGCAGGCAGUGGCAUCUUACUAUUCGGAAAAACUGAGCCAUAGUAUUGUCAAACUGAAUUGAAUCUGCCCAUGUGAAUCUGGUGACAAUGUCAUUAACAUUGAGACAUGGUCGGUAUCUAUGUUUUGAUCAGUUUCAGCACUGAUUUUUUUUCUUCUUUUUCAUCUUCUUUUUCUUAGCCUCUUCAACUUCCAAAAUACUGCAGUCCACUGCACUUUUUCUUAGCCUCUUCAACUUCCAAAAUACUGCAGUCCACUGCACUCUUGGAACUGCUCCAAAUAUUAGACUAACAGUUAGUUAAACCGUCAGUGCCUAACCUGAGUGGUUGUCUAUCACAAAAUAGCAGCUUAAACAAUCACCUCUCUUAUCAUCUGACUUCUCAAUUUGAGUACUCACACGGCAGUGGCAUGGAGACAUCCCCAGCACCAUGCCUAGUCCACUUUGAUGUUGAGAAUUAGAUGCAUUGUCAACUGGUAUGUCAGGUCCAGAUCCAGGAUCCUCCUUCAUCAACCCUUUCUCUUUUUUCUUCUUUGAUUUCCCACUAUUUUCAAGACCUUUUUCAGAUGAAUCUCUUUUCCUGCUUGUGUUCACAGAGCAUGGAGACAAAACCCAAAUAAGUGAAUAUACUGCAUUGGAAGCCAUGAUGCCAUGAUGGCGGUGGGAAUAUACGCCUUUCUUGAAUUUUCAUGCUUGGAACCCCCCUUUCUCUUCUAUGCAUGCAGGGUGCCACAUUCUUCAAUAAUGAUCUAGAGAGGUAACAAAUUAGCAGUUUAUAUUAGAAUUAUACUUUCUUGCUUUGCAGGCCAAGCUGAAAAAGGAGAUACCAACCGAGUAAUUCCUUUCAAAUUUUAUUGUUCAAGGAAUGGUGUGUUGACUGAAGAGAGCAUAUAUGAAAUCACAUACCAUGGAAAGGAAAGAAUGCCUGUGACUACACUGACUGUUUGCUUUUACAGGUUUUUCUCUCUUUAGGGUGUGAUAUUUAAGUAAGGUUGUUCCUGUUCAUUGCAGGGAUUUGGUGAGAAAUGAACGCCAAGAGGUCAGUGUACAUUCGGACCUAGUUUGCAAGAUGAUGAAAUCAAACUCCUAGCCAUGUUUGUGAAGUCGCAGGCUGAACAAGGAUGGUCGAACGUUGAAAUUUAUAAAGAUUGAUGUUUGUAGACAAGGGCAUUUCUAUAGAAAGGAGCGCUUAAAAUAUUGAAUAAUAUACUAUUUAUACAUCUCCUUGAUAUUGUCAGAAAAAACUACUACCGGAAUCUUAGAUGCACCACUUCUGGUUCAACAUGGCGAACUCGUUUCAGCUUGUUUGUCAAUUUUCUUCAUUAAUGAAAAAACAAGCUGUUUUGGGUCUUA